rnacentral:rRNA from 1 species
GGAGGGUGCAAGCGUUAAUCGGAAUCACUGGGCGUAAAGCGCACGUAGGCGGCUUGGUAAGUCAGGGGUGAAAUCCCACAGCCCAACUGUGGAACUGCCUUUGAUACUGCCAGGCUUGAGUACCGGAGAGGGUGGCGGAAUUCCAGGUGUAAGGGUGAAAUCCGUAGAUUUCUGGAGGAACACCGGUGGCGAAGGCGGCCACCUGGACGGAAACUGACGCUGAGGUGCGAAAGCGUGGGUAGCNAACCAGGAUUAGAUACCCUGGUAGUCCACGCUNUAAACGAUGGGUGCUGGGUGCUGGGNUGUNUGUCUCGGUGCCGUAGCUAACGCGUUANGCNCCCCGCCUGGGGAGU